rnacentral:rRNA from 1 species
GGUUAAGCGACUAAGCGUACACGGUGGAUGCCACGGCAGUCAGAGGCGAUGAAGGGCGUGCUAAUCUGCGAUAAGCGCCGGUAAGGUGAUAUGAACCGUUAUAACCGGCGAUACCCGAAUGGGGAAACCCAGUGUGACUCGUCACACUAUCAUUAACUGAAUCCAUAGGUUAAUGAGGCGAACCGGGGAACUGAAACAUCUAAGUACCCCGAGGAAAAGAAAUCAACCGAGAUUCCCCAGUAGCGGCGAGCGAACGGGGAGGAGCCCAGAGCCUGAAUCAGCAUGUGUGUUAGUGGAAGCGUCUGGAAAGGCGCGCGAUACAGGGUGACAGCCCCGUACACAAAAGCGCAUGUGCUGUGAGCUCGAUGAGUAGGGCGGGACACGUGGUAUCCUGUCUGAAUAUGGGGGACCAUCCUCCAAGGCUAAAUACUCCUGACUGACCGAUAGUGAACCAGUACCGUGAGGGAAAGGCGAAAAGAACCCCGGCGAGGGAGUGAAAAAGAACCUGAAACCGUGUACGUACAAGCAGUGGGAGCACAGGUUUACCUGUGUGACUGCGUACCUUUGUAUAAUGGGUCAGCGACUUAUAUUCUGUAGCAAGGUUAACCGAAUAGGGAGCCGGAGGAAACCGAGUCUUAAUUGGGCGUUAAGUUGCAGGGUAUAGACCCGAAACCCGGUGAUCUAGCCAUGGGCAGGUUGAAGGUUGGGUAACACUAACUGGAGGACCGAACCGACUAAUGUUGAAAAAUUAGCGGAUGACCUGUGGCUGGGGUGAAAGGCCAAUCAAACCGGGAGAUAGCUGGUUCUCCCCGAAAGCUAUUUAGGUAGCGCCUCGUGAACUCAUCUCCGGGGUAGAGCACUGUUUCGGCUAGGGGCCAUCCCGGCUUACCAACCCGAUGCAAACUGCGAAUACCGGAGAAUGUUAUCACGGGAGACACACGGCGGGUGCUAACGUCCGUCGUGAAGAGGAAACAACCCAGACCGCCAGCUAAGGUCCCAAAGUCAUGGUUAAGUGGGAAACGAUGUGGGAAGGCCCAGACAGCGGGAUGUUGGCUUAGAAGCAGCCAUCAUUUAAAGAAAGCGUAAUAGCUCACUGGUCGAGUCGGCCUGCGCGGAAGAUGUAACGGGGCUAAACCAUGCACCGAAGCUGCGGCAGCGACACUCAGGUGUUGUUGGGUAGGGGAGCGUUCUGUAAGCCUGUGAAGGUGUGUCGUGAGGCAUGCUGGAGGUAUCAGAAGUGCGAAUGCUGACAUAAGUAACGAUAAAGCGGGUGAAAAGCCCGCUCGCCGGAAGACCAAGGGUUCCUGUCCAACGUUAAUCGGGGCAGGGUGAGUCGACCCUAAGGCGAGGCCGAAAGGCGUAGUCGAUGGGAAACGGGUUAAUAUUCCCGUACUUGGUGUUACUGCGAAGGGGGACGGAGAAGGCUAUGUUGGCCGGGCGACGGUUGUCCCGGUUUAAGCGUGUAGGUGUGUGUUCGGUAAAUCCGGUUCACUUUAACACUGAGGCGUGAUGACGAGGCACUACGGUGCUGAAGCAACAAAUGCCCUGCUUCCGGGAAAAGCCUCUAAGCAUCAGGUAACAUCAAAUCGUACCCCAAACCGACACAGGUGGUCAGGUAGAGAAUACCAAGGCGCUUGAGAGAACUCGGGUGAAGGAACUAGGCAAAAUGGUGCCGUAACUUCGGGAGAAGGCACGCUGACACGUAGGUGAAGUGAUUUACUCACGGAGCUGAAGUCAGUCGAAGAUACCAGCUGGCUGCAACUGUUUAUUAAAAACACAGCACUGUGCAAACACGAAAGUGGACGUAUACGGUGUGACGCCUGCCCGGUGCCGGAAGGUUAAUUGAUGGGGUCAGCGCAAGCGAAGCUCCUGAUCGAAGCCCCGGUAAACGGCGGCCGUAACUAUAACGGUCCUAAGGUAGCGAAAUUCCUUGUCGGGUAAGUUCCGACCUGCACGAAUGGCGUAAUGAUGGCGGGCUGUCUCCACCCGAGACUCAGUGAAAUUGAACUCGCUGUGAAGAUGCAGUGUACCCGCGGCAAGACGGAAAGACCCCGUGAACCUUUACUAUAGCUUGACACUGAACAUUGAGCCUUGAUGUGUAGGAUAGGUGGGAGGCUUUGAAGUGUGGACGCCAGUCUGCAUGGAGCCGACCUUGAAAUACCACCCUUUAAUGUUUGAUGUUCUAACGUGGACCCGUUACCCGGGUUGCGGACAGUGUCUGGUGGGUAGUUUGACUGGGGCGGUCUCCUCCUAAAGAGUAACGGAGGAGCACGAAGGUUGGCUAAUCUGGUCGGACAUCAGGAGGUUAGUGCAAUGGCAUAAGCCAGCUUGACUGCGAGCGUGACGGCGCGAGCAGGUGCGAAAGCAGGUCAUAGUGAUCCGGUGGUUCUGAAUGGAAGGGCCAUCGCUCAACGGAUAAAAGGUACUCCGGGGAUAACAGGCUGAUACCGCCCAAGAGUUCAUAUCGACGGCGGUGUUUGGCACCUCGAUGUCGGCUCAUCACAUCCUGGGGCUGAAGUAGGUCCCAAGGGUAUGGCUGUUCGCCAUUUAAAGUGGUACGCGAGCUGGGUUUAGAACGUCGUGAGACAGUUCGGUCCCUAUCUGCCGUGGGCGCUGGAGAACUGAGGGGGCUGCUCCUAGUACGAGAGGACCGGAGUGGACGCAUCACUGGUGUUCGGGUUGUCAUGCCAAUGGCACUGCCCGGUAGCUAAAUGCGGAAGAGAUAAGUGCUGAAAGCAUCUAAGCACGAAACUUGCCCCGAGAUGAGUUCUCCCUGAGACUUAGAGUCUCCUGAAGGAACGUUGAAGACGACGACGUUGAUAGGCCGGGUGUGUAAGCGCAGCGAUGCGUUGAGCUAACCGGUACUAAUGAACCGUGAGGCUUAACCUU